CACCAUCUUUUUUUCUUCUCGUCCAAAAUUUCAACGAUACAAUAUGCAAUAAUACUACUACAUUCGUAUAUACGUCUCUAAACGACGCGAAUCUCAAUUUUCACGAACCUCAGCAAAAAAUUCACUUCGAAGAGUUAACUGGCCGCUUAUAAAUAUUAAUAAGUGUUCCGAGAGAUCGGCUGGCGUUGUAUCCGUGUCGUGACACGCAUGGAAACGGUCUGCUAGCACGCGCGCCAGCCAACGCACGCCACGAAGUUUACUGACAGACUGU
rnacentral:misc_RNA from 1 species